rnacentral:rRNA from 1 species
UUGGUCAUUUAGAGGAAGUAAAAGUCGUAACAAGGUCUCCGUAGGUGAACCUGCGGAGGGAUCAUUACAAGUGACCCCCGGCUCCGGCCGGGGAUGUUCAUAACCCUUUGUUGUCCGACUCUGUUGCCUCCGGGGCGACCCUGCCUUUUCACGGGCGGGGGCCCCGGGUGGACACAUCAAAACUCUUGCGUAACUUUGCAGUCUGAGUAAAUUUAAUUAAUAAAUUAAAACUUUCAACAACGGAUCUCUUGGUUCUGGCAUCGAUGAAGAACGCAGCGAAAUGCGAUAAGUAAUGUGAAUUGCAGAAUUCAGUGAAUCAUCGAAUCUUUGAACGCACAUUGCGCCCCCUGGUAUUCCGGGGGGCAUGCCUGUUCGAGCGUCAUUUCACCACUCAAGCCUCGCUUGGUAUUGAGCGACGCGGUCCGCCGCGCGCCUCAAAUCGACCGGCUGGGUCUUCUGUCCCCUCAGCGUUGUGGAAACUAUUCGCUAAAGGGUGCCACGGGAGGCCACGCCGAAAAACAAACCCAUUUCUAAGGUUGACCUCGGAUCAGGUAGGGAUACCCGCUGAACUUAAGCAUAUCAAUAAGCGGAGGA